UGGGCAACCUGCCCCUGACACUGGGAUAACCCCGGGAAACCGGAGCUAAUACCGGAUACUCUCGGCCGAUCACAUGGCUGGCCGAGGAAAGGUCCGCCGGUCAGGGAUGGGCCCGCGGCCUAUCAGCUUGUUGGCGAGGUAACGGCUCACUAAGGCGACGACGGGUAGCUGGUCUGAGAGGACGACCAGCCACACUA
rnacentral:rRNA from 1 species